rnacentral:rRNA from 1 species
CUGCCCGGUCCAGUUGGGAUGAUGUGCCCUUGAGGCGUGGCUUCCGGAGCUAACACGUUACUCGACCGCCCGUUAAGUACGGCCGCAAGGUUAAAACUCAACUGAAUUGACCGGGGCCCGCACAAGCGGGGGAGCAUGUGGUUUAAUUCGAUGCGACGCGAAGAACCUUACCUGGUCUUGACCUCCACAGAACUUUCCAAAGAUGGAUUGGUGCCUUCGGGAACUGUGAGACAGGUGCUGCAUGGCUGUCACAAUCGUGUUGUGAAUGUUGGGAUAAAUCCCGCAACAACCGUAACCCUUAUCCUUUGUUGCCAGCGGUCCCGCCGGGAAUUCAAAGGAGGCUGCCUGUGAUAAAAUGGAGGAAAGUGGGGAUGACGUCAACCCAUCAUGGCCCUUACAAACUGGGCCACCCCCGUCUUCUUAUGGCAUAUACAACAGUUAACACCGCGCGAGAACAGCCGGAAAUCAAAAGUUAUUUUUAGUCCGGAUUGAAGCUGAAACUCAAAUGCCUUGAGUCGGAUUGGUUCAAUUUUUAGAUCAAAGUGCUAUUU